rnacentral:lncRNA from 1 species
CGGGCCCGUUCGCCUUCCCGUUCGUUCCCAUGGCUUCUGGAGUCUUCUAGAUGACAGAAAAUUGCACGGCACGUUAAUAUCUCUAUGUAAACCCGACGUGUGGGCCUUUCUUCCGUAUUUCCUGAUAACCCCUAUAGAAAUAGACAAACACCAAAACUCGUGGAAUUCUGUCAGUUAAAACCCUAAGUCUGGGUGUUGGUUGCAUUUGGAUCCUUUUCUUUAUUUAUUUGAUGAUUAUAUUUGGUACUU